UAUCCACGUGAACGCUGUGAUACGUCUGACCUUCAGUCCGAAGAAGAAACCCAGACCAGUCUUAAAAGAAAGCACAAACCAAAUCCCCUGUACACAUAUACGGACUCAGAGGAUGAGUUUUUUUGUGGGGAAAGCCUACAAAAAAACGGUUUCCCCAGGCCCCUCGAGUGAAAAUACCAGCCCUCAUCACUCCGCAGUCUGCCCCCCAGCCCACUGAUAGCAGCCAUCAUAAUGCCCCACCCAGCUUCCGGCACCUUUCGCCACUCCGGCACAAACCGAC